AGAGUUUGAUCAUGGCUCAGGAUGAACGCUAGCGACAGGCCUAACACAUGCAAGUCGAGGGGCAGCACAUGAAGUAGCAAUACAGAUGGUGGCGACCGGCGCACGGGUGAGUAACACGUAUGCAACCUACCUUCCACAGGAGAAUAACCCGUUGAAAAACGGACUAAUACUCCAUAAUACAGGGGUCCCGCAUGGGAAUAUUUGUUAAAGAUUUUUUUCGGUAGAAGAUGGGCAUGCGUUCCAUUAGCUAGUUGGUUGAGGUAACGGCUCACCAAGGCAACGAUGGAUAGGGGAACUGAGAGGUUUAUCCCCCACACUGGUACUGAGACACGGACCAGACUCCUACGGGAGGCAGCAGUGAGGAAUAUUGGUCAAUGGAGGCAACUCUGAACCAGCCACGUCGCGUGAAGGAUGACGGCCCUACGGGUUGUAAACUUCUUCUAUACAGGAAUAAAGUGAGUCACGUGUGACUUUUUGCAUGUACUGUAUGAAUAAGGAUCGGCUAACUCCGUGCCAGCAGCCGCGGUAAUACGGAGGAUCCAAGCGUUAUCCGGAUUUAUUGGGUUUAAAGGGUGCGCAGGCGGAAGAUUAAGUCGGCGGUGAAAUUUUGCAGCUCAACUGUAAAAGUGCCAUCGAUACUGGUUUUCUUGAGUGUGGAUGAAGUAGGCGGAAUUUGUGGUGUAGCGGUGAAAUGCAUAGAUAUCACGAGGAACUCCGAUUGCGCAGGCAGCUUACUAGGCCAUAACUGACGCUCAGGCACGAAGGCGUGGGGAUCAAACAGGAUUAGAUACCCUGGUAGUCCACGCAGUAAACGAUGAUUACUCGCUGUUUGCGAUACACAGUAAGCGGCUUAGCGAAAGCGUUAAGUAAUCCACCUGGGGAGUACGUUCGCAAGAAUGAAACUCAAAGGAAUUGACGG
rnacentral:rRNA from 1 species